rnacentral:misc_RNA from 1 species
GAAAUGCGAUAAGUAAUGUGAAUUGCAGAAUUCAGUGAAUCAUCGAAUCUUUGAACGCACAUUGCGCCCUUUGGCAUUCCGAAGGGCAUGCCUGUUCGAGCGUCAUUACACCAAUCAAGCCUCGCUUGGUAUUGGGCGACGGGGUCGAUCGCGACGCCCGCGCCUCAACGACUUUCCGGCGGGACGGACCGUAUCUCAGCGUUGUGGUAAAAAGCCGCUGGCGAGACGGGACGGCCGUGCCGUUAAAACCCCAUUUUCUCAAGGUUGACCUCGGAUCAGGUAGGGAUACCCGCUGAACUUAA